rnacentral:misc_RNA from 1 species
GAUGAAGAACGCAGCGAAAUGCGAUAAGUAAUGUGAAUUGCAGAAUUCAGUGAAUCAUCGAAUCUUUGAACGCUCAUUGCGCCCCUUGGUAUUCCGAGGGGCAUGCCUGUUCGAGCGUCAUUAUAACCCCUCAAGCUCAGCUUGGUGUUGGGGCCUGCUGCACUGGCAGCCCUUAAAAUCAGUGGCGGCGCCAUCUGGCUCUAAGCGUAGUAAUUCUUCUCGCUAUGGAGUCCUGGUGGAUGCUUGCCAUCAACCCCCAAUUUUUCUAUGGUUGACCUCGGAUCAGGUAGGGAUACCCGCUGAACUUAAGCAUAUCAAUAAGCGGAGGA